rfam:Picea glauca, whole genome shotgun sequence.
UUGGUCGUAGAAAGGAGAGAUGGUUGGCAUCUCCCUCGACAAGGACGGGAACAGUCUUCGGAAUUUCCUUUCACAAACCCACACGGAAAACGGUGCUUGUAGUGGCUCGCCGGAUCGAUUCCCAAGCCUUUC